UUAAACACUUUUGCCAGUUCCCUCUAUUAAUAUCAAAUUUCUUAUCACGGAUACGAGUUUCUGGAAACUCUGGGCCACAGCUUCGGCUCCCGCCUGGGCCGAUCCAGUCCAGAAACUUCUAAACAAUUCCUGAGGGUGAUAGGGUUUCUGUGAAUGAAACCCUAACCCUAUAUAUAUCAACGGUCCCUCUAGCUCAGAGGAUUAUUCUUCAUCGUCUUCUAGAAGUAGGCCAAAUAAGGGUGAUCUUUGUCCAAGAUGAGAGCUAAGUGGAAGAAGAAGCGCAUGAGAAGGUUAAAGAGGAAGCGCCGAAAGAUGAGGCAGAGAUCUAAGUAGGCUCAGGAACAUGGAUGGGCUUUCUCAUUAAGUGUCUUUUUUCUUUGGCUUUUCAGCAUGUCUACUCUGGUGUGGCUGUCAAGACUUGAGGGGAUACAAUUUGAGGAAGCUUUUUUCUGUUUCAUCUUUUAGUUCUAGGUUUAGCAGCCAUCAGUAUUAAGACUGUUUGAGUUUCUUGAAUAGUACUAUCUAAUAUUUUUCCAGUUAUAUGUUUUAACUGUUUGUCUGCACUUGGUUUACUUAAUCUUCAUCCGUUAAAUAUAUUGAACAUCUAGUGAUUCCCUAUCCAA